GGAUGUGAGGGUGAUCUGGCUGCAACAUCUGUCACCCCAUUGAUCUCCAGGGUUGAUUUGGCUGAUCUGGCUGGCUAGGCAGGUGUCCCCUUUCUCCCUCACGGUUCCAUGUGUGUCAUUCCCGAAGCUGCACACUCCGUGGAAAAGGACGACCAUCUCCCAUAGAGGAGGACCAUUCUUCAGUCAAGGGUAUAUGAGUAGCUGCAGUCCUCUGCUAGGUCCUCCAAACAAGCUCUCAAGAAGACAACAUAUAAUCAUUCCUCAGUAUCCAUGGGGAUUGGUUCCAAGACUCCCUACAU
rnacentral:snRNA from 1 species